GGCGCCGCCAUCUUGUUGGCCAGCCUAGUCCGUACAGUCACUACCUGUACGGACGCUAGGCAAUAUGGUCGCGCCUACUGCACGACUUCCGUGCUGACGCCGCCAUCUUGGAAUCGUACGCUCGGGGGCAGCGUCCUAAUCGGCCACCGAGAGGGAGCCGCCAUCUUGCCGGUGGAUUCUGGCGCCAGUAGCUGGUACUGCCUAGAUGUCUAUAGGGAAGGGGGCCCUCUUUUAGGAACGCUACCUGGAUUGAGUAGCUCUUUCCACUAUUCAGUCGUUUUUCCUUUCCGCGUCUACUAAUGGACGUCCGUAUACUGUGUGCCUUAUGCUGGGAAGGAAAGCAUUCCCUUCGUCAUGCCUCCAACAUUACCUCUGACAGAGUCCCGGGUACCUUCAGCCGCCUUGGCAGGAUGCCUCAAACCGCAGCGGAUAGUGAGGAGUGCUUCCAGGAGCGGCGUUCUGGUUGCCCCGGGCUACCCACUCCGCGCGGUUUGCACCUGGCCGGAAGGGGGCAGCGUGACCAUGGCAACGUAGGACUCCGAAACCAGCUACUUCCUCUCGGUUGAGGCUUCGAGAUUCUCUACUCCACCUCUUUGGAUAUUUUCGUUUCUGCUCGGAAGGCAAACUAUGUAGUAUGCCUUUCCUCUUGGAAAAGUUGAAGGUCAAAACACAACUCUAAUUUAUACAGCUAGUUGUAUCUUAUAAUGGGAAUAAAGGGUUGGUUACAUGCCAUCUGAUCCUAAGAGUGCACAGUUCAGGCUUUCUUAGCACGUCGGGAAGACUUUUGUGAUUUUUGUUACUGUACUGGCUUAAAAUGGGGGGGGGGGGGGGCGGGCGGAGGGUGCAGGAGUGCCCCUCCAGAUCAGGCGAAGGAGAGCGAGGUUAUGGUAGUGGCCAUGGCCCCUCCGCCGCCUCCCGCAGCAGCCGCGGCCCCGCCCGCGCCGGGUCCCUUUUGCUGCCUGCUGCCGCCGCGGCUUUGGCAUCGGCGGCAGGGGCCCCAACCGGAGACCCCGGGCACUCCUAGAGCUCCUCAUCCCGCCAAGGAGCCCCGGAAGUCGAGUCCCGCGUGAGAUCCGUCCGCCCUGUGCAGUCGUCCAACCUCGGAACCCGUUCUUGGGAGGGUGGGUUUUCAUAAUGAAAAUCCUGCGUCCCUCGGCGAUCAGGGCGCGCCAGGAGCUGGAGGGGCCUCAGCUCAGCAACAAGAGGCCCGUGCUGUCCCAGAGCCCGGCACUCCCCUGGGGGGACUUCGCCAUACGCUACCCACCGCCAGGGUGAGCUACCCACCGCCAGGGUGACUCUCAGCCGUGCCCCGGGGACGGGGUGGGGCCCCUGCGCCUUCUGGCCGGGUCUGAAGACGGCUGCGGGCGGCCUUCACUCCCACGGGGAAACCCGUGUCUUCAUAUGGAGAAUGUAACUAAGCAACUCCUGGGUAUUGCUGCCUCCUCGUCCAUUUUGUUUGGCCAAGCGGUUUGCAGAGACCUUAAACUGACACCAACCCCCUCACGCAAGCAUGCACCCUCUGUGGCCGCUACGGAGUCACAAGCAAACAUAAGUUCCUGAAAUGGCUUCCCCAACAGCUCUUGUGAUCAACAGUCUCUCCUGCAUCCCAGCGCCUGGAUGUCUUAUGCACCCCCUUAGAUAGACCUUCUGUGGCUUACUCUGGUCUGAAGGGAUCACUGGGACCCUAUCCUAGGAAGCCCAAAGCACUGCCCCCAGGGACCCUUAUGAUAAAGGCAUCCGGCCUCUCUGCACCCUGUCUUGACUUGAAGACCACUGGAGAGACGAAGUGCACCUUCUCCAGGACCCUUUUUCUUAAGGAAAAGAACUUUCAGAAUGUAAGCAAGAAAAACACCUUAGUGCCAGGAAAUGAGAACGUAUUCAGCAAAAUGAACACCUUGAUAUAAAUGAUACCCAAAUAGUCUUUUCUGGCUUUCAUUUGACCUAUUAUGAGAUGUGACUGGCAGCUAUUUCCACAAUUAAUUGAUCCUGGAAAAUUUGGCAAGCCUUACUCUUCUCCAGUUCAAGAACUAGACAACUGCCCACUUUGUAAGUAUCAAUAUAAUAGUAUCUAUUAAGUGUUUUUGGAGAAGGCAAUGGCACCCCACUCUAGUACUCUUGCCUGGAAAAUCCCAUGGACGGAGGAGCCUGGAAGGCUGCAGUCCA